AUUGCUUCUCAGCCUCUUAGCUAAGAUCAAGUGUAGUAUCUGUUCUUUUCCAUUUAAUAUCUGAUAUGUCCUCCAUCCAUGGACAACAUAUUAAAUGUAUCUUGGAGCAGGGGGAUGAAAUAGUUUGCUCCACCCACUCUGCACAUUGACCCGGUAUUCCAAGACUUCCAGGAAGGUGCACCCCUC